GAUGAACGCUGGCGGCGUGCCUAACACAUGCAAGUCGAGCGAACAGACGAUGAGCUUGCUCCUCUCACGUUAGCGGCGGACGGGUGAGUAACACGUGGAUAACCUACCUCUAAUACUGGGAUAACUUCGGGUAACCGCAGCUAAUACUAGCUAAUAUUUUUAACCGCAUGUUUCGAUAGAGCUAGACAUGUUGGCUGUGACUGUUAGAUGGAUCCACGCCGCAUUAGCUAGUUGGUAAGGUAACGGCUUAUCAAGGCAACGAUGCGUAGCUGACCUGAGAAGAUGAUCAGCCACACUGGAACUGAGACACGGUCCAGAGUCCUACAGGAGGCAGAAGUAGUGAAUAUUGCGCUGAGGGCGGAAGCUUGACGGAGCCACGCCGCGAGGUUGAAGAAUGUCUCCGUAUCGUAAAACUAUGUUAUGAUGGAAGAAGAAAUGCGUAAGUGACUAUGCGCGUCUUGACGGUACCUAAUUAGAAAGCCACGUCUAACUACGUG
rnacentral:rRNA from 1 species